CGAGAGAGCGGGCCUUUUACAUCCGGGAAGCGUCGGGGUUGCGUUACGUUAAGGUCGGCUGUCGUGUUUUGUGGACCACGGUGGUAAUUGGGGCAGAACUUUUUGGCUUAGUUAAAAUGCAGGAGAUUCAAGAGUCGUGUAGUGGUAGAUUCACUUCAGCUGUGAAAACCUCUGGGUUUGAAAACCUGAGGAGACUUAGGUGUUCAUGAGGUCACGAGGCGGCCACGUGCAGCCCUGGCUGCCGAGUCUAAGAGGCCGAGCGCGCUCGGGUCUUGGGCCCUCGGGCAGAGGCUCGAAGCACAUGGCGACUUCGGCAAAGGUCGUGAAGUCCGCUGUCGGUGUCCAGUGGCCAUCUUGAAACUGCUCCGCCGGUACUCCCCCGUUUAGAUGUAGGAAGCAGAAGUAAUUGUUCCGAUGGACGAUAGAAAACAUGACCUGGUAAUCAAGAAAUGCCAUGUGGUAUGGGUGAAGUCCUGUUUGUUUAGAAGCCUGUGGCGCACUGCCAAAAGGUGAUUUUAAAUCU